GACGAACGCUGGCGGCGUGCCUAAUACAUGCAAGUCGAACGCAGUGGGGACGGGUGAGUAACACGUGGGUAACCUCCCAUCAGAGGGGAUAACACUAGGAAACAGGGGCUAAACCGAUAGUGAAGGAUGGACCCGCGGCGCAUUAGCUAGUUGGUGAGGUAACGGCUCACCAAGGCCACGAUGCAUAGCCGCCCUUAGAGGGUGAUCGUCCACACUGUGACUGAGCCACUGCCCAGACUCCUUCGGGUGGCCGCAGUAUGGAAUCUUCGGCAAUUGACGAAACUCUGUCCGAGCCACGCCCCUUGUGUGAAGAGGGUUUUCGGAUCCUAAACCUCUGUUGUUCGAGAAGCGGUAUCUUCCCAGAAAGCCACGGCUAACUACGUGCCAGCAGCCGCGGUAAUUC
rnacentral:rRNA from 1 species